AUUGAACGCUGGCGGCAGGCCUAACACAUGCAAGUCGAGCGGAUGAAGGGAGCUUGCUCCUGGAUUCAGCGGCGGACGGGUGAGUAAUGCCUAGGAAUCUGCCUGGUAGUGGGGGAUAACGUCCGGAAACGGGCGCUAAUACCGCAUACGUCCUGAGGGAGAAAGUGGGGGAUCUUCGGACCUCACGCUAUCAGAUGAGCCUAGGUCGGAUUAGCUAGUUGGUGGGGUAACGGCCUACCAAGGCGACGAUCCGUAACUGGUCUGAGAGGAUGAUCAGUCCCACUGGAACUGAGACACGUUCCAGACUCCUACGGGAGGCAGCAGUGGGGAAUAUUGGACAAUGGGCGAAAGCCUGAUCCAGCCAUGCCGCGUGUGUGAAGAAGGUCUUCGGAUUGUAAAGCACUUUAAGUUGGGAGGAAGGGCAGUAAGUUAAUACCUUGCUGUUUUGACGUUACCAACAGAAGAAGCACCGGCUAACUUCGUG
rnacentral:rRNA from 1 species